rnacentral:rRNA from 1 species
GACGAACGCUGGCGGCGUGCUUAACACAUGCAAGUCGAACGGAAAGGCCCUGCUUUUGUGGGGUGCUCGAGUGGCGAACGGGUGAGUAACACGUGAGUAACCUGCCCUUGACUUUGGGAUAACUUCAGGAAACUGGGGCUAAUACCGGCUAGGAGCUACUGCUGCAUGGUGGGGGUUGGAAAGUUUCGGCGGUUGGGGAUGGACUCGCGGCUUAUCAGCUUGUUGGUGGGGUAGUGGCUUACCAAGGCUUUGACGGGUAGCCGGGCUGAGCGGGUGACCGGCCACGUUGGGACUGGGAUGCGGCCCAGACUCCUACGGGAGGCAGCAGUGGGGAAUAUUGCACAAUGGGCGGAAGCCUGAUGCAGCAACGCCGCGUGCGGGAUGACGGCCUUCGGGUUGUAAACCGCUUUCGCCUGUGACGAAGCGUGAGUGACGGUAAUGGGUAAAGAAGCACCGGCUAACUACGUG